GACGAACGCUGGCGGCGUGCUUAACACAUGCAAGUCGAACGGAAAGGCCCUGCUUUUGUGGGGUGCUCGAGUGGCGAACGGGUGAGUAACACGUGAGUAACCUGCCCUUGACUUUGGGAUAACUUCAGGAAACUGGGGCUAAUACCGGAUAGGAGCUCCUGCUGCAUGGUGGGGGUUGGAAAGUUUCGGCGGUUGGGGAUGGACUCGCGGCUUAUCAGCUUGUUGGUGGGGUAGUGGCUUACCAAGGCUUUGACGGGUAGCCGGCCUGAGAGGGUGACCGGCCACAUUGGGACUGAGAUACGGCCCAGGAUCCUACGGGAGGCAGCAGGGGGGAAUAUUGCACAAUGGGGGGAAGCCUGAUGCGGCAACGCCGCGUGCGGGAUGACGGCCUUCGGGUUGUAAACCGCUUUCGCCUGUGACGAAGCGUGAGUGACGGUAAUGGGUAAAGAAGCACCGGCUAACUACGUG
rnacentral:rRNA from 1 species